rnacentral:tRNA from 1 species
ACGCCGCGUGCGGCGAAGGCGGCGGCCACCGCCUCCGGCGUGGUGCCAGGGGCGAUGAGCACGCCAUCCGUGCGGUUCCAGCGCUGCGAGGCGUCC